GCGGCUUGAUCACGCACCUGCACGCUCUGCGGCCGCUGCUUCGGAUACUUGGUCAGUCAGCCGCAGGCCGAGGGCACGCGCUGUUACCCCGCCGUGCGUGGCCAUCUGUCCAUGGAGGGUCACGGAAUUAGGAUGGACAAUGUCGGUGUCAGCCGCCUGCCGGACUGGACGGAGGAAGGCCUCUGCUCCUGUGGCCCGGACGCUGCCUCCCGCGACUUUAACAUCCCUCUCUGCCCCGCCGACACUGUGCCCUGGGGAGCUGCCCACCAGAUCCAUCUGUUGAUGUGGCCAUAGCGACCGUCAUUGUCACUCUUCGCAGAGCCCCUGCUGUCCAGCCUGCCCUCCCCUUCCUCCCUCUGUCUCCUUGGUGACAGCAGUGACAUCUACAACCCAAGCCCCGGCACCUGCUGACCACCAGUGGGAUUUGGGGACAGCUCCCUUUCCUGGAGCACACCCUGCACCGUGGCAGCCAUGGCCUGGGCCCCCCGAAUCUGGCAGCGGUCUCCGUCUCAAGUACUCAUGACAAAGUCACCACGUCUUCAAAAUCUUGUUUUAAUUUAAAACAAAAUCCAUCCACAUAUGCAUGCUCCUCCUUGCCGAUCGAUGCUUUAUACGGAUGCUCCCGGGAGGCUGUGCUGACCUGUCCCCGGAGCCUCCAGACCCA